rnacentral:lncRNA from 1 species
GUGAAAACCACCGAGAGGCACAGGCACAGCACACGGACACAACAUUGACUCUGGGGAGGUAGUUCUCGCCUCAAUUCGCUCAUGCAAAGGGCCUGGAACCCACCGGAGGGGCGUGGCGAACAUUCCCCCGGAAGCUCUGGGUUUCUUUCAGGGACAUCGAGCGAGGCAGGUGUUCCACCCCACUUUCUUGUUUGAGGGGAGAAGGAAACCAAAGCCAGUAGAAAUGGAAUUUAUGGCCUCCGUGCUCUCAGAGGGAGAAAAAAAUUCUCACUCAUCAGCCUAAAGAGAAACCCUGUCUUAUCCCAGAUUACCACCAUGGGAUUUAAAAUUCAGUGAGAAGACUGCUUGGGAAAUACUGUCUCCGAACUGCCGGUACAGACACUGCCCAUUGGUACAAUAUUUUUAGGUCAUCUGUCAAUUGCCAUGUUUGCAUUUCUUUCAUGCAAUACAAGUUGAAAUCAUAAUGAAUUUCUUGAGUUUCAGGAAUAUCUCAAAAUAAACUUCUUCAUCCUCAACAAAUGAUUAAAUUAUGUUCAGUUGGAUCUUAAUGUUGACUAUGGAUUUGGUCCAUGAAUUUUGGGUGAACAAUUUAAGUAUCUACAUACAGAAUGCUCUCUGAAAAAGAUAGACAAUUAUUUAUAUUUAAUGAAAAGAAAAUAUUUUUUAUUAAUUGCAAGGCAUUUCCCUAACAUCUAUGUUGAUCAAAAAUUCAUAUAGGAAAUUAUAGAAUUAUUCUCUGGAUACCAAAUAGCAUAGAUUGAGAAUUUCCUACAUUUAGGACACUAGUGUGUUGUUCAGAUAUAGUCCCAUGCAGUUUGCUGCAAAUUCAGGUAUUGCAUAAAGGAUAAACAAUUAUUCUGAAUACAAAACAAAGUCUCUACUUAAAAGUGGGCUUCUAAGCUUUUGUGU